AACGAACGCUGGCGGCAUGCCUAACACAUGCAAGUCGAACGGGAUCCUGGCUUCGGUCAGGUGAGAGUGGCGGACGGGUGAGUAACGCGUGGGAACCUGCCCAGUGGUGGGGGAUAACUGCGGGAAACUGCAGCUAAUACCGCAUGAGCCCGAGAGGGGAAAGAUUUAUCGCCAUUGGAGGGGCCCGCGUUCGAUUAGGUAGUUGGUGAGGUAAUGGCUCACCAAGCCGACGAUCGAUAGCUGGUCUGAGAGGAUGAUCAGCCACACUGGGACUGAGAUACGGCCCAGACUCCUACGGGAGGCAGCGGUGGGGAAUAUUGGACAAUGGGGGCAACCCUGAUCCAGCAAUGCCGCGUGAGUGAUGAAGGCCUUCGGGUUGUAAAGCUCUUUUGCCAGGGACGAUGAUGACGGUACCUGGAGAAUAAGCCCCGGCUAACUUCGUGCCAGCAGCCGCGGUAAUACGAAGGGGGCAAGCGUUGUUCGGAAUUACUGGGCGUAAAGGGCGCGUAGGCGGCUUAUCAAGUCAGGCGUGAAAUUCCCGGGCUCAACCUGGGGGCUGCGCUUGAU
rnacentral:rRNA from 1 species